GAUGAACGCUGGCGGCGUGCCUAGUACAUGCAAGUCGAGCGAACGGACGAGAAGCUUGCUUCUCUGAUGUUAGCGGCGGACGGGUGAGUAACACGUGGAUAACCUACCUAUAAGACUGGGAUAACUUCGGGAAACCGGAGCUAAUACCGGAUAAUAUUUUGAACCGCAUGGUUCAAAAGUGAAAGACGGUCUUGCUGUCACUUAUAGAUGGAUCCGCGCUGCAUUAGCUAGUUGGUAAGGUAACAGCUUACCAAGGCAACGAUGCAUAGCCGACCUGAGAGGGUGAUCGGCCACACUGGAACUGAGACACGGUCCAGACUCCUACGGGAGGCAGCAGUAGGGAAUCUUCCGCAAUGGGCGAAAGCCUGACGGAGCAACGCCGCGUGAGUGAUGAAGGUCUUCGGAUCGUAAAACUCUGUUAUUAGGGAAGAACAUAUGUGUAAGUAACUGUGCACAUCUUGACGGUACCUAAUCAGAAAGCCACGGCUAACUACGUG
rnacentral:rRNA from 1 species